UACGGGGGAUGCAAGCGUUAUCCGGAUUUAUUGGGUUUAAAGGGUGCGUAGGCGGUUUGAUAAGUCAGCGGUGAAAUAUUUCAGCUUAACUGGAAGGGUGCCGUUGAUACUGUCAGGCUUGAAUAUGGUUGCUGUGGGUGGAAUGUGUGGUGUAGCGGUGAAAUGCUUAGAUAUCACACAGAAUAUCGAUUGCGAAGGCAGCUCACAAAGCCAUUAUUGACGCUGAUGCACGAAAGUGUGGGGAUCAAACAGGAUUAGAUACCCUGGUAGUCCACACCGUAAACGAUGAUAACUCGCUGUCGGCGAUAUACAGUCGGUAGCCAAGCGAAAGCGAUAAGUUAUCCACCUGGGGAGUACGACCGCAAGGUUGAA
rnacentral:rRNA from 1 species